rnacentral:rRNA from 1 species
GACGAACCGAGCGAACGUUGUUCGGAAUCACUGGGCUUAAAGGGCGCGUAGGCGGGCUGUCAAGUCUGGGGUGAAAUCCCGCGGCUCAACCGUGGAACUGCCUUAGAUACUGACGGCCUCGAGGGAGAUAGGGGCGAGCGGAACUGUGAGUGGAGCGGUGAAAUGCGUUGAUAUUCACAAGAACUCCGGUGGCGAAGGCGGCUCGCUGGAUCUCUUCUAACGCUGAGGCGCGAAAGCUAGGGGAGCAAACGGG